AAAAAUUUAGAACGGGUAGGAGAUAUAGAUGAUAUGAUUCUACUGUCACAUUUUAGAAUUGAGUUAAUACCAUACAACUUUCUGUAAACAUAUUGAAUAACGAAUAUAUUAUUACAAAGUUUAACUUUUCAUAUUUAUUCGUAUAAAAGUUCAAUGAUAUUCGUAUUUGCCUCUCUGGUUUGUUAUCUUAGAGUUCUAUUUAUUUUUUAACAAAAAAUAAGUAAAAUGAUAUUUUUAUCAUCACAAAUAUGUUUCUCUAAAAAUUUUAAUUGUUAGAGUUAUGUAAAUAUGUCCUCCCAAAAAUUUCGAACGGUCAUCUUUUUUCUUUUGACCAUCACAAAUAAUAUACGAGGGGUACGCACUAAGAGCAAUUUAUCUCAUUUACUAAUCAGGGUUAACUAUUUAUAGUUAAUUAUAUUUUUCUAACGGAUCCUCAUAGCAGGGAUAUAUUUAAAAACGUUAAGGGUGCAUUUGGUUCGCAUUAUAAAAGAUUACUAGGAAUAAAAGAUAUCCGAGAAUCUUAUUUCUAUUUAUUCUAUUACUAAGAAUGCGGAAUUUCUGUGUUUGGUUCACACGGUAAUAUUAAUUAGCCAUGUUUUUAAUAUUACAAAAAAUAUACAAUUAAUUAAUUAAUUUAUUUAUUUAAUUUUAGAUAAUGUUACCAAAAGUUUCAACAUCUUUUUAGAAAAAAGGGAGAGAGAGUAUAAGUUAGAGAGAGAAAGCAUAAUUAAAAAAAUAGAAAGAAAAAUAUAGUCGAAAUUAGAGGGAGUGAAAGAGUUGAAAUUUUAGAAAGAGAGAGAGAGAGAGAGAGAGAGAGAGAGAGAGAAAGCUUAGUUUAGAGAAAGAAAAGAAAGUUGAAUUUUAGAGAGAAAAAUAAAUUUAGAGAGAGAUAUAAGGUUAGAGUGUAAAGAAAAAUAAUAUCAAUUAGCCGGCGGGUAGGAAGAAAGAAAGAGAUUAGACAUAUUAUGAUUACCCCAAUCCAUUAAUAUGAGGAUACCCACCCUCCCUCAAGGAAAUGAGAUUAAUACUUUGGAGUGAAUCUUAUUCCCAAGUGAAUCCGAUAUUACCAACUAGAUUACUUUGUGCGUUUAGCCAAACACCGUCAUAUUUUUUUAUUCCCAUUGAAUUAUUAGGAAUCUUUAAAAGAUAGCGCGAACCAAACGCACCCUAAAAAUUUUUUUGUAAAGAUAAAUAUGAAAAGUUAAAUUUUGUAGCUAUUCGAUAUGUUU
rnacentral:lncRNA from 1 species